rnacentral:rRNA from 1 species
AGUGAACGCUGGCGGCAGGCCUAACACAUGCAAGUCGAACGGCAGCACAGUAAGAGCUUGCUCUUACGGGUGGCGAGUGGCGGACGGGUGAGGAAUACAUCGGAAUCUACUUUUUCGUGGGGGAUAACGUAGGGAAACUUACGCUAAUACCGCAUACGACCUACGGGUGAAAGCAGGGGAUCUUCGGACCUUGCGCGAUUGAAUGAGCCGAUGUCGGAUUAGCUAGUUGGCGGGGUAAAGGCCCACCAAGGCGACGAUCCGUAGCUGGUCUGAGAGGAUGAUCAGCCACACGGGAACUGAGCCAGGGUCAAGGCUCCUACGGGAGGGAGCAGUGGGGAAUAUUGGACAAUGGGGGCAAGCAUGAUCCAGCCAUACAGCGUGGGUGAAGAAGGCCUUCGGGUUGUAAAGCCCUUUUGUUGGGAAAGAAAAGCAGCAGGUUAAUACCCCGCUGUUCUGACGGUACCCAAAGAAUAAGCACCGGCUAACUUCGUG